rnacentral:rRNA from 1 species
GAGUAACACGUGAGUAACCUGCCCCUGACUCUGGGAUAAGCGUUGGAAACGACGUCUAAUACUGGAUACGACUGCCGGCCGCAUGGUCUGGUGGUGGAAAGAUUUUUUGGUUGGGGAUGGACUCGCGGCCUAUCAGCUUGUUGGUGAGGUAAUGGCUCACCAAGGCGACGACGGGUAGCCGGCCUGAGAGGGUGACCGGCCACACUGGGACUGAGACACGGCCCAGACUCCUACGGGAGGCAGCAGUGGGGAAUAUUGCACAAUGGGCGAAAGCCUGAUGCAGCAACGCCGCGUGAGGGAUGACGGCCUUCGGGUUGUAAACCUCUUUUAGUAGGGAAGAAGCGAAAGUGACGGUACCUGCAGAAAAAGCACCGGCUAACUACGUGCCAGCAGCCGCGGUAAUACGUAGGGUGCAAGCGUUGUCCGGAAUUAUUGGGCGUAAAGAGCUCGUAGGCGGUUUGUCGCGUCUGCUGUGAAAUCCCGAGGCUCAACCUCGGGCU